GCUCCGGUGGCCUAGUGGUUAAAGCGUCCGCCUCGGAUGCGGGAGGUCGUGGGUUAAAUCGAGUCAUAACAAAGGCU